rnacentral:lncRNA from 1 species
GAAGGGGGCUUCCUCUAAAUUCUAUAUUUGAAGAGACAAUAGCCUACAUACAGAAAUACAAACAAAAAGUAUUGCCUUUUUGUAGAUCAUUAUAGUACUAACUUAUAUUAAAAGAAAUGGCAUCGAUACAAAGACACAUUCUUUUAAAAAUGCUCAUUCAGUAACACUGCAAUCUCAUGUGGUAAUUAAUACAUUAUAUGCAUUUCAUAACCACAUGGGACAUUUUAAAUCUAUACAUGAACAGAUUUAUAUUAUAUUAAAAAUAUGUUUAUAUCCAUGUAAAGAUUUAAAAUGUCCCACGUGGCUCAUUACAUAGGCUCAAUAUGAUGUAUUUAUCAGUGUUUGUAAGUAAUGUGUAUUAAAGCGACUAUAACAAAUUUGAUGUGACAAAGAUUAAAGACAAAGAGAAAUAGCAUUACAAAUAAAGUCGCAUCAGCAAAACUUGAUAUCGGUUUGUGUUCACUCCCCUCAAAGAUCACGAGACAGUCACUAACAGCUUAACACUAACUUAUCACUCCAAACAUCGAAACAGUCAUUAACACAAACAUACAAAAACACGAAAUCUCUCAUGUCUGAAUUAACGCAGAAAUAGCGCUGUGCAUGAUUAAAACAAGGCAGAAACGACCUCGUAUAUUGGUGCAUAAACAGUGCAAGGUGUAUUUUACAAUUGUGUAAAUAUGUGAAAUACCAUAACCUGCUCACCUCUUCUUCUUCUGUGAGUUUAUUGGCGCCUUGCAUACCAGCUUUUAGGUGCAUAUCGCCACCUCCUGUGCUGGAGUGUGAAGUGAUUUCAGUCUAAGUGUGUUAAAAUCUAUAUCCAGUUCUUCAAGUCACUAUUUGUAAUGUAUUUUAAAACAGCUUUUAUAAUUUUACCUGAUCCUUGAUUUGUAUUUAAUAAAUUUCUUAUUUCAAAUUAUUUGCAUCCCAUGCUGUAGAGUUCUCUUAUUAAUUCAUUCCUUUCCUGCUCAUACCUAAUUAAUAACACAUGUUCUACUUUUCCUUUACUUGGCACGUUUCCUGUAUAUGUUUACCUAUUAUAUAAAGAGUCAAAUUAAAUGUUGUAUGUCCCAUUCUUAAUCUUGCUUAAAUAAUCUGAUGUUCUCUACUGAAACUAUAUAACCAUUUACUUUUUCUAAUACUGUUUUGUAUAUUAUAAAGUUGCCUUCCUGUAAUACAAAUAUCUCUUUUAAGAGUUUCUAAUGACCUAUCCU